UACGUAGGGUGCAAGCGUUGUCCGGAAUUAUUGGGCGUAAAGAGCUCGUAGGCGGUUUGUCGCGUCUGCUGUGAAAACUCGGGGCUUAACCCCGGGCCUGCAGUGGGUACGGGCAGACUAGAGUGCGGUAGGGGAGGCUGGAAUUCCUGGUGUAGCGGUGAAAUGCGCAGAUAUCAGGAGGAACACCGGUGGCGAAGGCGGGUCUCUGGGCCGUAACUGACGCUGAGGAGCGAAAGCGUGGGGAGCGAACAGG
rnacentral:rRNA from 1 species